rnacentral:rRNA from 1 species
AUUGAACGCUAACGGCAUGCUUAACACAUGCAAGUCGAACGGCAGCACGGUCGUAGCAAUACGAUGGGUGGCGAGUGGCGGACGGGUGAGUAAUAUAUAGGAAUCUGCCUUGUAGUGGGGGAUAACCCGGGGAAACUCGGGCUAAUACCGCAUAAUCUUUACGAAGCAAAGUGGGGGAUCGUAAGACCUUACGCUAUAAGAUGAGCCUAUAUUGGAUUAGCUAGUUGGUGGGGUAAAGGCCUACCAGGGCAACGAUCCAUAGCUGGUCCGAGAGGAUGAUCGGCCACACUGGGACUGAGACACGGCCCAGACUCCUACGGGAGGCAGCAGUGGGGAAGAUUGGACAAUGGGCGAAAGCCUGAUCCAGCAAUGCCGUGUGUGUGAAGAAGGCCUUAGGGUUGUAAAGCACUUUUAGUGGAGAAGAAAAGCUCAUGGGUAAUAUCCAUGAGUGCUGACGUUAUCCACAGAAAAAGCACUGGCUAACUCUGUGCCAGCAGCCGCGGUAA